GUCAGACAAGGGUCAACGUUUUAGCGGCGGGAAGUUCGAACAUUCCACCAGCCGGCACUCCACCGAGACGGGGGGCGAUAUCGCUUACCAGGCAUUUGCGAUUCAUUGCUUGAGUCACGUGUCUCUCAGGUCAUGUGCUCAUGAUUGGAUCACUCCACUCCUGAAGAAGGCCAACUAAUGUGAAAAUUUGAGAGAUCACCAUAUACCACCUAGGAAGAUGGGCUGAAAUGGCGCGUGGAGGUGUCAAACUGCCGACAGACUAACUUCACACACGCCGGUCAUCAAUCAAAGCACGUAUCGAGGCGGCACGUGGCGGAGUGUAGAUCCCCCUGACGGGAAACGGUUCCGAACGACGGGUAAUCAUCGCUAAUAAUCAAGGUUCCGGAUGAACUUUGUGUGGAAGAAUGAUGAUCGAAGUGCGCCAUGUCGUCUAUCACGUGCGUGAUGUGACAGGGAAGAGCGAAGUGUCCGAGAUGAGAUACCAGUGAGGACUAUUGUGGAUCUUCUUUGUAGCAGUUUAUAAUA